rnacentral:lncRNA from 1 species
AGAGAAAAAGAAAGAGUUCAAGAGAAGAGAAGAGAAGAUACGGGAAAGAAAGAAAGAAAGAAAGAAAGGAAAGGAAAUAAAAGGAAAGAAAAGAAGAACAACAAGCUUCCAUUUUUUUUCAAGCUUCAUUAGAGGUAAGAGGGAUAGUAACAUAGUUAUUUGAGAUGAAUUUAUGAGAGGAGAGAAAAUCAUUUUUCUCUAGCCCAAACUCUCUCAUCUCAAUUGAGGGUUUGUAUGUGGGAGUUGGGAAUAUGUUUAUUUAUGAGUUUUAUGUGUUGAUACAUGAAUCUAUAUGUUUAUUCAUGAUUAUUGGAGGAUUUGCUUUGAGAAAAAUACUUACUUUGAUUGUUGAUGAUGUUGUUUAAGUGUUUUUAGUAAGUUUAUGAGUUUAAGUGAAAAUUCAUGAAAUAAGUGCUUAUACUUGUUGUUUUAAGUGAUUUUGAACAUGUAUAAGUAUGAUAUAUGUUUGAUAUAAUUUACUGGAUUGAAAUAAGUGAUUUUCGUGUUGAAAUAAGUGAUUAUUUGAGUAAGCCGAACUCAAAAACGUGUUUUUCUGCAAUUCUGCAGUAUGAACAGUUUUUGCGUCGAACACUGUCCGACGCUACCUGUUGACUCGUAACCGUUGACUUUUUGUCUACUUUUUUUUGUUGGAACCUAUUUUGCUCAGUUUUUCGCGUAGAUUCCGAUUCCGAAGUCUAUUUUCUGAAAUUAUGCUUGGAUAAUGAUGUUGCCUAUAUUUUUGGCAUUAGUUUAGUUUAAAAUAACUUUCGUAUGCUUAAUUAAUCGAAAUUGGUGAACUCUUGAUGGUGUGAGACUUUAGUGUCUUGUAAAUGAAUAUGUUAUUGAUUAAUGAUGAUGAUGAUUAGGUUGUUGAUAAAUGAUGAUGUAUUAUGAUUAGAUUGGUGAAUUAUUGAUAAAUAAAUCUUAUUAGCGUGAUUACGUGAUGAUGUAUUAAUGAUGAUUCAUAAUGUUAUUGAUUAUGAUGUUGAUUUAUUGAUGAUGAUAAAUGAUGAUUUAUCAUGGGUAGAGGUAUGGUGAUUUAGAAUAUUUGGAUUAUUUUAUCCAUAUUAUGUUGAUGUUAUAGUUGCGAUAAAACCAUAUGUUUGGUGGAUGCACAUUUCAUGCAUUCAUAAGUUGAGUCUAUUGAUGAGUAUCCUAGAGACGAUGAUCUAGUUUACUGUUAUUCUAGAGACGAUGAUCUAGAAUGUUUUAGAGACGAUGAUCUAAAACACUUGGGUUAAGUUAUCCAAGAUUAUGAUGAAUUCGUACCACAUGCAUAUAGAUAUGUCUAGGUGACAUCAUAUUUAUGUGACAUUAAAAUGCAUUAGGAAUUAUGUGAAAUUCUUAAAUGUUAAAUGAUACUCGACAUUGUGUAUUUCAUUUAUUUGUUCGAGAGUUUGUACUUCUCAAAUGUGAUGAAUAAUUGAUAAAUGAAUAUGUCUAAUACAUGUCUGAGCAUGUCUGAUACAUGUANNNNNNNNNNNNNNNNNNNNNNNNNNNNNNNNNNNNNNNNNNNNNCAGUGUCUGAUAUGCGUUAUAUUCAGUCACUGUUAAUAAUUGUGUUAUCUAACCCUCUGUUUUGUGUUUGUGCUGAACCGUUGGGGGUUCAGGUUCUCAGGUUGUAUGUUUGUUGGUGUUCGAGUUGUUGGUGAAAGCUCUGCUCUGAUUGUGACACGGGGAAGGGUUCAUAGAGUCUUUUAUUGUUGUUGUCUUAUUUAAUUUAAAGAUGUAUUAGGAAAAAUAUUUUUGUAUAAGGGAUGUUUUACUAAUUAAUUUUAUUAGUAGAGUUUUUAAUGAAGAAUGUAACACCUUGAACCAAUAUUUUAUAAUUCAUUUUUAUUUCGAGCCUUAAAAU